rnacentral:rRNA from 1 species
UACGUAGGGUGCGAGCGUUGUCCGGAAUUACUGGGCGUAAAGAGCUCGUAGGUGGUUUGUCGCGUUGUUCGUGAAAACCGGAGGCUCAACCUCUGGCGUGCGGGCGAUACGGGCAGACUUGAGUACUGCAGGGGAGACUGGAAUUCCUGGUGGUAGCGGUGAAAUGCGCAGAUAUCAAGGAGGAACACCGGUGGCGAAGGCGGGUCUCUGGGCCGUAACUGACGCUGGAGGAGCGAAAGCAUGGGGAGCGAACAGG